AAUCAACGCUGGCGGCGUGCCUCAGACAUGCAAGUCGAACGCGAAAGUUUCCUUCGGGAGACAAGUAGAGUGGCAAACGGGUGCGUAACACGUAGGUAAUCUUCCUUUGAGUUGGGGAUAAACCCUCGAAAGGGGGUCUAAUACCGAAUAACACUUCGGGCCGGCAUCGGCCUGAAAUUAAAGAUGGCCUCUGCUUGCAAGCUAUCGCUCAAAGAUGAGCCUGCGGCCGAUUAGUUAGNGGUCGGGAGUAAAAGACCCACCCAAGACUUCGAUCGGUAGCCGGUCUGAGAGGAUGUCCGGCCACACUGGGACUGAGAUACGGCCCAGACUCCUACGGGAGGCAGCAGUAGGGAAUAUUGCGCAAUGGCCGCAAGGCUGACGCAGCAACGCCGCGUGGGGGAGUG
rnacentral:rRNA from 1 species